rnacentral:rRNA from 1 species
CCUACGGGUGGCAGCAGUGGGGAAUAUUGGACAAUGGGCGAAAGCCUGAUCCAGCCAUGCCGCGUGUGUGAAGAAGGCCUUCGGGUUGUAAAGCACUUUCAGUGGGGAAGAAAGCCUUGGGGCUAAUACCCUCGAGGAAGGACAUCACCCACAGAAGAAGCACCGGCUAACUCCGUGCCAGCAGCCGCGGUAAUACGGAGGGUGCGAGCGUUAAUCGGAAUUACUGGGCGUAAAGCGCGCGUAGGCGGUCUGAUAAGCCGGUUGUGAAAGCCCCGGGCUCACCCUGGGAACGGCAUCCGGAACUGUCAGGCUAGAGUGCAGGAGAGGAAGGUAGAAUUCCCGGUGUAGCGGUGAAAUGCGUAGAGAUCGGGAGGAAUACCAGUGGCGAAGGCGGCCUUCUGGACUGACACUGACGCUGAGGUGCGAAAGCGUGGGUAGCAAACAGGAUUAGAUACCCGGGUAGUC